rnacentral:rRNA from 1 species
UGGGGAAUAUUGGACAAUGGGCGAAAGCCUGAUCCAGCCAUGCCGCGUGUGUGAAGAAGGCCUUUUGGUUGUAAAGCACUUUAAGCGAGGAGGAGGCUACUAGUACUAAUACUACUGGAUAGUGGACGUUACUCGCAGAAUAAGCACCGGCUAACUCUGUACCAGCAGCCGCGGUAAUACAGAGGGUGCGAGCGUUAAUCGGAUUUACUGGGCGUAAAGCGUGCGUAGGCGGCUGAUUAAGUCGGAUGUGAAAUCCCUGAGCUUAACUUAGGAAUUGCAUUCGAUACUGGUCAGCUAGAGUAUGGGAGAGGAUGGUAGAAUUCCAGGUGGAGCGGUGAAAUGCGUAGAGAUCUGGAGGAAUACCGAAGGCGAAGGCAGCCAUCUGGCCUAAUACUGUCGCUGAGGUACGAAAGAAUGGGGAGCAAACAGG